GAUGAACGCUGGCGGCGUGCCUAAUACAUGCAAGUCGAGCGAACAGACGAGGAGCUUGCUCCUCUGACGUUAGCGGCGGACGGGUGAGUAACACGUGGAUAACCUACCUAUAAGACUGGGAUAACUUCGGGAAACCGGAGCCAAUACCGGAUAAUAUAUUGAACCGCAUGGUUCAAUAGUGAAAGACGGUUUUGCUGUCACUUAUAGCUGGAUCCGCGCCGCAUUAGCUAGUUGGUAAGGUAACGGCUUACCAAGGCAACGAUGCGUAGCCGACCUGAGAGGGUGAUCAGCCACACUGGAACUGAGACACGGUCCAGACUCCUACGGGAGGCAGCAGUAGGGAAUCUUCCGCAAUGGGCGAAAGCUUGACGGAGCAACGCCGCGUGAGUGAUGAAGGUCUUCGGAUCGUAAAACUCUGUUAUUGGGGAAGAACAAAUGUGUAAGUAACUAUGCACGUCUUGACGGUACCUAAUCAGAAAGCCACGGCUAACUACGUG
rnacentral:rRNA from 1 species